rnacentral:rRNA from 1 species
GACGAACGCUGGCGGCGUGUCCAAUACAUGCAAGUACGACGCAGUUGCGAACGGGUGAGUAACGCGUAGGUAACUACCUAUUAGAGGGGGAUAACUAUUGGUAACGAUAGCUAAUACCGCAUACUUGUAGAUGGACCUGCGUUGUAUUAGCUAGUAGGUACGGUAAUGGCCGACCUAGGGAACGAUACAUAGCCGACCGGAGAGGGUAAUCGGCCACACUGGGACUGAGACACGGCCCAGACUCCUACGGGAGGCAGCAGUAGGGAAUCUUCGGCAAUGGGGGGAACCCUGACCGAGCAACGCCGCGUGAGUGAAGAAGGUUUUCGGAUCGUAAAGCUCUGUUGUUAAGGAAGCGGUACUUAACCAGAAAGGGACGGCUAACUACGUGCCAGCAGCCGCGGUAAUAC